rnacentral:tRNA from 1 species
UAGCAGUUAGUUUAAUAAAAACAAAUGAUUUCGACUCAUUAAAUUAUGUUUAAAUUCAUAACUGCUAA